GGGUGAUUAGCUCAGCUGGCUAGAGCGCAGCAUUCACAUUGCUGAGGUCGGGGGUUCGAGCCCCUCAUCACCCACCA
rnacentral:tRNA from 1 species